GCGCGCGGUAGAGCGAGAAGGGCGGCAACUCGAAAGGUGUCUCGAAACGCUGCGAGAGGACGACCUGAAAUAUGUCGCCCGCGGCGAUAUAUUCCUUCGCGCGUUCGACCAUGCCGUAAUAGGUGUCGCGCGGCGUAUUGGAGCGCGGCUCUUCAAGCGCGGCGAUGUUUGCUUCGCGGUGCCCAUGCGGCAGGGCGCGGUCGAAAUCCGCAAUCACAUCCGACAGGCGUUCGCUGGCACGCGCAUAGGCCGCGCGGGCGCUGACGCCGGGCUCGGGACGCACGGGCGUGACGAGCGUUACCUCGUCCUUCACGGAAUCGAAGACGGCAAUGAUGGUAGGCCGGAGAAAGAUGCCGUCGGGCAGGCCGAGCGCAUCCGGGUUCUGGUCCGGCAGGUGCUCCAUGAGGCGCACCGUGUCAUAGCUCAUAUAGCCGAAGACACCGGCUGCCAUAGGCGGCAGUUCUUCCGGCAGCUCGAUGCGGCUUUCCUCGAUGAAGGCACGGAGGCUUUUCAGCGCACCACCGGCACAGGGCUCGAAAGCGCCAUCGUCGAAACGCGCCUUGCGAUUGAUCUCCGCCGCAUCGCCCAUCGUGCGCCAGAUGGCGUCCGGCUUGAGGCCGAUGAUCGAAUAACGAUUGCGGUUGUCGCUGCCCUCGACGGAUUCGAGAAGAAAGCUGUUCGGCUUGCCUUCCGCGAUCUUGAGCAUGGCAGAGACAGGCGUGUCGAGGUCGGCAACGAGACGCGUAUAGACGACCUGCGCCGUGUCGGCGUUGUAGGCGGCCUCGAAGGACUCGGCUCCGGCAGGAUCAACCGGAAAGACCUGCUCUGCAGGCUCCCCCCAUAGAUCUCCUCGCUCAGAGUCGCCCGAUAGUGAUCGUAUACGGUACCG
rnacentral:rRNA from 1 species